rnacentral:rRNA from 1 species
UACGUAGGGACCAAGCGUUGUUCGGAUUUACUGGGCGUAAAGGGCGCGUAGGCGGCAUGACAAGUCACUUGUGAAAUCUCCGGGCUUAACUCGGAACGGCCAAGUGAAACUGUCAAGCUAGAGUGCGGAAGGGGCAAUCGGAAUUCUUGGUGUAGCGGUGAAAUGCGUAGAUAUCAAGAGGAACGCCACUGAGGUGAAGACGGGUUGCUGGGCCGACACUGACGCUGAUGCGCGAAAGCCAGGGGAGCAAACGGG